UCCGGUUUGUCACCGGCAGUCUCCCUAGAGUUCCCAUCCGAAAUGCUGGCAACUAGGGACAAGGGUUGCGCUCGUUGCGGGACUUAACCCAACGUCUCAUGACACGAGCUGACGACAGCCAUGCACCACCUGUACACCGACAAAAGGGGCCAUAUCUCUAUGGCUUUCCGGUGUAUGUCAAACCCAGGUAAGGUUCUUCGCGUUGCAUCGAAUUAAUCCGCAUGCUCCGCCGCUUGUGCAGGCCCCCGUCAAUUCCUUUGAGUUUCGGUCUUGCGACCGUACUCCCCAGGCGGAGUGUUUCACGCGUUAGCUGGGCCCCUGAUCCACGUAGACCAAGGGCGAACACUCAUCGUUUACGGCAUGGACUAC
rnacentral:misc_RNA from 1 species